AUUGAACGCUGGCGGCAGGCCUAACACAUGCAAGUCGAGCGGAUGAGAGGAGCUUGCUUCUCGAUUCAGCGGCGGACGGGUGAGUAAUGCCUAGGAAUCUGCCUGGUAGUGGGGGACAACGUUUCGAAAGGAACGCUAAUACCGCAUACGUCCUACGGGAGAAAGCAGGGGACCUUCGGACCUUGCGCUAUCAGAUGAGCCUAGGUCGGAUUAGCUAGUUGGUGAGGUAAUGGCUCACCAAGGAGACGAUCCGUAACUGGUCUGAGAGGAUGAUCAGUCACACUGGAACUGAGACACGGUCCAGACUCCUACGGGAGGCAGCAGUGGGGAAUAUUGGACAAUGGGCGAAAGCCUGAUCCAGCCAUGCCGCGUGUGUGAAGAAGGUCUUCGGAUUGUAAAGCACUUUAAGUUGGGAGGAAGGGUUGUAGAUUAAUACUCUGCAAUUUUGACGUUACCGACAGAAUAAGCACCGGCUAACUCUGUGCCAGCCGCCGCCGUAAGAC
rnacentral:rRNA from 1 species